UUAACUAUUGUAUAGUACUCAGACAACACUAAUAUUUAGAGUUUAGGGGUCCUUUGGCGGGCACUUACCAGCCAGAGCCGGUAGCCGAAGCGGCCCGCCAAAGCAACAAAGGUAUAGUAUUCAAGGGUGGGAGAUCUACCCGUGAGGGCAUGAACUCUGUAAUGAUCCUUCCGCAGGUUCACCUACGGAAA
rnacentral:misc_RNA from 1 species